rnacentral:rRNA from 1 species
AUUGAACGCUGGCGGCAUGCCUUACACAUGCAAGUCGAACGGCAGCACGGGAGCAAUCCUGGUGGCGAGUGGCGAACGGGUGAGUAAUACAUCGGAACGUGCCCAGUUGUGGGGGAUAGCCCGGCGAAAGCCGGAUUAAUACCGCAUACGACCUACGGGUGAAAGCGGGGGAUCGCAAGACCUCGCGCUAUUGGAGCGGCCGAUGUCGGAUUAGCUAGUUGGUGGGGUAAAAGCCUACCAAGGCUACGAUCCGUAGCUGGUCUGAGAGGACGACCAGCCACACUGGGACUGAGACACGGCCCAGACUCCUACGGGAGGCAGCAGUGGGGAAUUUUGGACAAUGGGCGCAAGCCUGAUCCAGCCAUGCCGCGUG